GAUGAAGAACGCAGCGAAAUGCGAUACGUAAUGUGAAUUGCAGAAUUCAGUGAAUCAUCGAAUCUUUGAACGCAUAUUGCGCUCUCUGGUAUUCCGGAGAGCAUGCUUGUUUGAGUAUCAGUAAACACCUCAACUUCCAUAUCUUUUUUUGAAAUGGGAGUUGGACUUGAGUGAUCCCAACGCUUUUCCUCACCGAAAAGUGGCGGGUUACUUGAAAUGCAGGUGCAGCUGGACUUUUCUCUGAGCUAUAAGCAUAUCUAUUUAGUCUGCCUAAAAAACAGAUUAUUACCUUUGCUGCAGCUAACAUAAAGGAGAUUAGUUCUUGUGCUGACUGAUGCAGGAUUCACAAAGACAGCUUCGGCCGACUUUGUAAACUCGAUCUCAAAUAAAGUAAGACUACCCGCUGAACUUAAGCAUAUCAAUAAGCGGAGGA
rnacentral:misc_RNA from 1 species